rnacentral:rRNA from 1 species
CUCGCAAGAGUGAACUAGCUAACUGAAAUCACAUAAGACAUAAAUGUGUUAAAAGUGAUAAGGUAAGGGAAAAAACUGAUGUUACCUUACUAUUAGUGUUGUCCAAAUCUGGUGCCAGAAGACUCGGUAAGACCAGAAACGCAAACGUUAAUCGUCCUUAUCAGGCGUAAAGGGUUUGUAGGCUGCUUUUAAAACUUCUAUUUAAAAAAGCUCUGAUAAAAUCAGUUAAAUAGGUAAAAAAUAAAAGCUAGAAUCAAAUAGAGGAUAAGCCGAAUAAUACUUAGAGUAGGGAUGAUAUCCUUAGAUACUAAGUGGAAUACUAAAGGUGAAAGCUUUUAUCUACUAAU